AAGUCGUAACAAGGUUUCCGUAGGUGAACCUGCGGAAGGAUCAUUAACACGUUCCACGUAUCAACCCCGCGCACUCGUUUUCACACGCUGAUUAAGCUCCACAUAGUCCUGCAAACCUCGAUUUUCAGCUCCGCACACACCGAUAAGGAAACAGGCUGCAUAAGCCUGGCGGCUGUCGAUGGCAAAUGUCCUUUCUCUCUCUGCGAGGAGAGAAGAAGGGGAGGCUGUGGAUGUCUGGUCAUGUCUUCUAUUCCUUGUCGAAUUUUUCACAACAUAUUUACCCCUUUCUGAAACGUACUAAUUUACACAUUUCUUUCUUUAGAAAUUUGUGGUCUUGUGCACUCUCUCUCGGGAGUGCUGAGCACCUCAACAACUAAGAAAAACCUUAAGAACAACUCUUAACAACGGAUAUCUUGGCUCUC
rnacentral:misc_RNA from 1 species